GAUGAACGCUGGCGGCGUGCCUAAUACAUGCAAGUCGAGCGAACGGACGAGAAGCUUGCUUCUCUGAUGUUAGCGGCGGACGGGUGAGUAACACGUGGAUAACCUACCUAUAAGACUGGGAUAACUUCGGGAAACCGUAGCUAAUACCGGAUAAUAUUUUGAACCGCAUGGUUCAAAAGUGAAAGACGGUCUUGCUGUCACUUAUAGAUGGAUCCGCGCUGCAUUAGCUAGUUGGUAAGGUAACGGCUUACCAAGGCAACGAUGCAUAGCCGACCUGAGAGGGUGAGCGGCCACACUGGAACUGAGACACGGUCCAGACUCCUACGGGAGGCAGCAGUAGGGAAUCUUCCGCAAUGGGCGAAAGCCUGACGGAGCAACGCCGCGUGAGUGAUGAAGGUCUUCGGAUCGUAAAACUCUGUUAUUAGGGAAGAACAUAUGUGUAAGUAACUGUGCACAUCUUGACGGUACCUAACCAGAAAGCCACGGCUAACUACGUG
rnacentral:rRNA from 1 species